rnacentral:rRNA from 1 species
UUUCCGGUUGAUCCUGCCGGACCUGACCGCUAUCGGAUUGAUACUAAGCCAUGCGAGUCUUUGCAGUAAUGCAAGGCAUACGGCUCAGUAACACGUAGUCAACUUACCCUAUGGACGAGGAUAAUCUCGGGAAACUGAGCAUAAUACUCGAUAGAUCAUAAUGCCUGGAAUGGUUUAUGGUUAAAAUGAUUCGUCGCCAUAGGAUGGGACUGCGGCCUAUCAGCUUGUUGGUGAGGUAAUGGCCCACCAAGGCGAUUACAGGUACGGGCUCUGAGAGGAGAAGCCCGGAGAUGGGUACUGAGACAAGGACCCAGGCCCUAUGGGGCGCAGCAGGCGAGAAAACUUUGCAAUGUGCGAAAGCACGACAAGGUUAAUCCGAGUGAUUUCUGCUAAAGAAAUCUUUUGCAAGUCAUAAAACCACUAGUGAAUAAGGGGUGGGCAAGUUCUGGUGUCAGCCGCCGCGGUAAAACCAGCACCUCAAGUGGUCAGGAGGAUUAUUGGGCCUAAAGCAUCCGUAGCCUGCUUUGUAAGUUUUCGGUUAAAUCCAUGUGCUCAACGCAUGGGCUGCCGAAAAUACUGCAUAGCUAGGGAGUGGGAGAGGUAGACGGUACUCGGUAGGAAGGGGUAAAAUCCUUUGAUCUAUCGAUGACCACCUGUGGCGAAGGCGGUCUACCAGAACACGUUCGACGGUGAGGGAUGAAAGCUGGGGGAGCAAACCGGAUUAGAUACCCGGGUAGUCCCAGCUGUAAACGAUGCAGACUCGAUGAUGCAUUGGCAUAUAGCCAGUGCAGUGUCGCAGGGAAGCCGUUAAGUCUGCCGCCUGGGAAGUACGUACGCAAGUAUGAAACUUAAAGGAAUUGGCGGGGGAGCACCACAAGGGGUGAAGCCUGCGGUUCAAUUGGAUUCAACGCCGGG